GAUGAACGCUGGCGGCGUGCCUAAUACAUGCAAGUCGAGCGAACAGACGAGGAGCUUGCUCCUCUGACGUUAGCGGCGGACGGGUGAGUAACACGUGGAUAACCUACCUAUAAGACUUGGAUAACUUCGGGAAACCGGAGCUAAUACCGGAUAAUAUAUUGAACCGCAUGGUUCAAUAGUGAAAGACGGUUUUGCUGUCACUUAUAGAUGGAUCCGCGCCGCAUUAGCUAGUUGGUAAGGUAACGGCUUACCAAGGCAACGAUGCGUAGCCGACCUGAGAGGGUGAUCGGCCACACUGGAACUGAGACACGGUCCAGACUCCUACGGGAGGCAGCAGUAGGGAAUCUUCCGCAAUGGGCGAAAGCCUGACGGAGCAACGCCGCGUGAGUGAUGAAGGUCUUCGGAUCGUAAAACUCUGUUAUUAGGGAAGAACAAAUGUGUAAGUAAUUAUGCACGUCUUGACGGUACCUAAUCAGAAAGCCACGGCUAACUACGUG
rnacentral:rRNA from 1 species